AACGAACGCUGGCGGCAUGCCUAACACAUGCAAGUCGAACGAGAUCUUCGGGUCCAGUGGCGCACGGGUGCGUAACGCGUGGGAAUCUGCCCUUUGGUUCGGAAUAACAGUUGGAAACGACUGCUAAUACCGGAUGAUGACGACAGGCCAAAUAUGUAUCGCCAGAGGAUGAGCCCGCGUAGGAUUAGCUAGUUGGUGUGGUAAAGGCGCCCCAAGGCGACGAUCCUUAGCUGGUCUGAGAGGAUGAUCAGCCACACUGGGACUGAGACACGGCCCAGACUCCUACGGGAGGCAGCAGUGGGGAAUAUUGGACAAUGGGCGAAAGCCUGUUCCAGCAAUGCCGCGUGAGUGAUGAAGGCCUUAGGGUUGUAAAGCUCUUUUCCCCGGGAUGAUAAUGACAGUACCGGGAGACUAAGCUCCGGCUAACUCCGUGCCAGCCGCCGCCGUAAUAC
rnacentral:rRNA from 1 species